rnacentral:rRNA from 1 species
AGAGCAAACGGUGGAUGCCUUGGCAUCUGGAGCCGAAGAAGGACGUAUAAAUCUGCGAUAAGCCUCGGGGAGCUGAUAAUAGAGCUUUGAUCCGAGGAUCUCCGAAUGGGGAAACCCCGCCAGGCCCUUUGGGUGACCUGGUGACUCCCGCCUGAAUAUAUAGGGCGGGUAGAGGGAACGUGGGGAAGUGAAACAUCUCAGUACCCACAGGAAGAGAAAGCAAAAGCGAUUCCGUUAGUAGUGGCGAGCGAAACCGGAAGAGGCCAAACCGAUCAUGUGUGAUAUCCGGUAGGAGUUGCAUGGUCGGGGUUGCGGGACUUUCCGUACAGUUCUACCGAGCUGUGAGGGCAAUGAGCGCGAUAUAGACGAAUGGUCUUGAAAGGCCAGUCAUAGAGGGUGCGAACCCCGUAGUCGAAAUGUCGUCGCCUGUCCGGAGAGUAUCCCAAGUAGCACGGGGCCCGAGAAAUCCCGUGUGAAUCUGUCAGGACCACCUGAUAAGCCUAAAUACUCCCAGAUGACCGAUAGCGGACAAGUACCGUGAGGGAAAGGUGAAAAGUACCCCGGGAGGGGAGUGAAAUAGUACCUGAAACCGUUUGCUUACAAACCGUUGGAGCACCCUUGUUGGUGUGACAGCGUGCCUUUUGAAGAAUGAGCCUGCGAGUUAGUGAUAUGUGGCGAGGUUAACCCGUGAGGGGCAGCCGUAGCGAAAGCGAGUCUUAAUAGGGCGUAUGAGUCGCAUGUUCUAGACCCGAAGCGAAGUGAUCUAUCCAUGGCCAGGUUGAAGCGACGGUAAGACGUCGUGGAGGACCGAACCCACUUCAGUUGAAAAUGGAGGGGAUGAGCUGUGGAUAGGGGUGAAAGGCCAAUCAAACUUCGUGAUAGCUGGUUCUCUCCGAAAUGCAUUUAGGUGCAGCGUUGCGUGUUUCUUGCCGGAGGUAGAGCUACUGGAUGGACGAUGGGCCCCAAAAGGUUACUGACUUCAGCCAAACUCCGAAUGCCGGUAAGUGAGAGCGCAGCAGUGAGACGGUGGGGGAUAAGCUUCAUCGUCGAGAGGGAAACAACCCAGACCACCAUCUAAGGUCCCUAAGCGCGUGCUAAGUGGGAAAGGAUGUGGAGUUGCAUAGACAACCAGGAGGUUGGCUUAGAAGCAGCCACCCUUGAAAGAGUGCGUAAUAGCUCACUGGUCAAGUGAUUCCGCGCCGACAAUGUAACGGGGCUCAAGCACGCCACCGAAGUUGUGGCAUUUAUAUUAUAGGCAGGCCUUCGUGGUCCAGCCGUAUGGAUGGGUAGGAGAGCGUCGUGUGGCCAGCGAAGCGGCGGUGUGAACCAGCCGUGGAGGCCACACGAGUGAGAAUGCAGGCAUGAGUAGCGAAAGACGGGUGAGAAACCCGUCCUCCGAAAGACCAAGGGUUCCAGGGCCAGGCUAAUCCGCCCUGGGUAAGUCGGGACCUAAGGCGAGGCCGACAGGCGUAGUCGAUGGACAACGGGUUGAUAUUCCCGUACCGAUGAAGAACCGCCCAAGACAAUCCAGUAAUGCUAAGUGUCUGAAUCCUUGAUUCGAUCCCUUCGGGGUGACGGUCUUGGCCUAGCACACGACCCUACGCUGGGGCGUUUAGCGUAUUAACAGGUGUGACGCAGGAAGGUAGCUGAGCCGGGCGAUGGUUGUCCCGGUCUAAGGAUGUAGGGCAGAAGAUAGGCAAAUCCGUCUUCUAUGUAGCCUGAGACCCGAUGGGUAGUCCUCACGGACGAAAUCAGUGAUCCUAUGCUGCCGAGAAAAGCAUCGACGCGAGGUUCCAAUCGCCCGUACCCCAAACCGACUCAGGUGGUCAGGUAGAGAAUACUAAGGAGAUCGAGAGAAUCGUGGUUAAGGAACUCGGCAAAAUGCCCCCGUAACUUCGGGAGAAGGGGGGCCUGAGGCGUGUAGGGAUUUACUCCUGAAGCGUUUGAAGGCCGCAGAGACCAGUGGGAAGCGACUGUUUACUAAAAACACAGGUCCGUGCUAAGUCGCAAGACGAUGUAUACGGACUGACGCCUGCCCGGUGCUGGAAGGUUAAGAGGAACGGUUAGCACGCAAGUGCGAAGCUGAGAAUUUAAGCCCCAGUAAACGGCGGUGGUAACUAUAACCAUCCUAAGGUAGCGAAAUUCCUUGUCGGGUAAGUUCCGACCUGCACGAAUGGCGUAACGACUUCCCAGCUGUCUCAACCGCGAACUCGGCGAAAUUGCACUACGAGUAAAGAUGCUCGUUACGCGCAGCAGGACGGAAAGACCCCGUGACCUUUACUACAGCUUGGUAUUGGUGUUCGGUGUGGCUUGUGUAGGAUAGGUGGGAGACUGUGAAGCUCGGACGCUAGUUCGGGUGGAGUCAUUGUUGAAAUACCACUCUGGUCACUCUGGAUAUCUAACUUCGAACCGUAAUCCGGUUCAGGGACAGUGCCUGGUGGGUAGUUUAACUGGGGCGGUUGCCUCCUAAAGAGUAACGGAGGCGCCCAAAGGUUCCCUCAACCUGGUUGGUAAUCAGGUGUCGAGUGUAAGUGCACAAGGGAGCUUGACUGUGAGACUGACAAGUCGAGCAGGGACGAAAGUCGGGACUAGUGAUCCGGCAGUGGCUUGUGGAAGCGCUGUCGCUCAACGGAUAAAAGGUACCUCGGGGAUAACAGGCUGAUCUUGCCCAAGAGUCCAUAUCGACGGCAUGGUUUGGCACCUCGAUGUCGGCUCGUCGCAUCCUGGGGCUGGAGUAGGUCCCAAGGGUUGGGCUGUUCGCCCAUUAAAGCGGUACGCGAGCUGGGUUUAGAACGUCGUGAGACAGUUCGGUCCCUAUCCGCUGCGCGCGUAGGAAAUUUGAGAAGAUCUAUCCCUAGUACGAGAGGACCGGGAUGGACGAACCUCUGGUGUGUCAGUUGUUCCGCCAGGAGCACCGCUGAUUAGCUACGUUCGGAACGGAUAACCGCUGAAAGCAUCUAAGCGGGAAGCCGGCUUCGAGAUGAGAUUUCCAUCCCUUUU